GUUGAACGCUGGCGGCAUGCCUAACACAUGCAAGUCGAGCGGAUGAAGGGAGCUUGCUCCUGUAUUCAGCUGCGGACGGGUGAGUAAUUCCUAGGAAUCUGCCUGGUAUUGGGGGAUAACGUCCGUAAACGGGCGCUAAUACCGCAUACGUCCUGAUGUAGAAAGUGGGGGAUCUUCGGACCUCACGCUAUCAGAUGAGCCUAGGUCGGAUUAGCUAGUUGGUAGGGUAAAGGCCUACCAAGGCGACGAUCCGUAACUGGUCUGAGAGGAUGAUCAGUCACACUGGAACUGAGACACGGUCCAGACUCCUACGGGAGGCAGCAGUGGGGAAUAUUGGACAAAGGGCGAAAGCCUGAUGCAGCCAUGCCGCGUGUGUGAAGAAGGUCUUCGGAUUGUAAAGCACUUUAAGUUGGGAGGAAGGGAAGUAAGUUAAUACCUUGCUGUUUUGACGUUACCAACAGAAUAAGCAACGGCUAACUUCGUG
rnacentral:rRNA from 1 species